rnacentral:rRNA from 1 species
AGUGAAGCGGCAACAGCUCAAAUUUGAAAUCUGGCCCUCGUGGUCCGAGUUGUAAUUUGUAGAGGAUGCUUUUGGUGAGGUGCCUUCCGAGUUCCCUGGAACGGGACGCCAUAGAGGGUGAGAGCCCCGUCUGGUUGGACACCGAGCCUCUGUAAAGCUCCUUCGACGAGUCGAGUAGUUUGGGAAUGCUGCUCAAAAUGGGAGGUAUAUGUCUUCUAAAGCUAAAUAUUGGCCAGAGACCGAUAGCGCACAAGUAGAGUGAUCGAAAGAUGAAAAGCACUUUGAAAAGAGGGUUAAAUAGUACGUGAAAUUGUUGAAAGGGAAGCGUUUGUGACCAGACUUGGGCUCGGUUAAUCAUCCAGCGUUCUCGCUGGUGCACUUUGCCAGCCCAGGCCAGCAUCAGUUUGCUGCGGGGGAUAAAAGUUUCGGGAAUGUGGCUCCUCGGAGUGUUAUAGCCCGUUGCACAAUACCCUGUGGUGGACUGAGGUUCGCGCAUCUGCAAGGAUGCUGGCGUAAUGGUCAUCAACGACCCGUCUUGAAACACGGACCAAGGAGUCGUCUUCGUAUGCGAGUGUUCGGGUGUCAAACCCCUACGCGUAAUGAAAGUGAACGGAGGUGAGAGCUACGGCGCAUCAUCGACCGAUCCUGAAGUUUUCGGAUGGAUUUGAGUAAGAGCAUACGGGGCCGGACCCGAAAGAAGGUGAACUAUGCCUGUAUAGGGUGAAGCCAGAGGAAACUCUGGUGGAGGCUCGCAGCGGUUCUGACGUGCAAAUCGAUCGUCAAAUAUGGGCAUGGGGGCGAAAGACUA